rnacentral:rRNA from 1 species
UACGGGGGAGCAAGCGUUGUUCGGAUUUACUGGGCGUAAAGGGCGCGUAGGCGGCGCGACAAGUCACUUGUGAAAUCUCUGGGCUCAACCCAGAACGGUCAAGUGAUACUGUCGUGCUAGAGUGCGGAAGGGGCAACUGGAAUUCUUGGUGUAGCGGUGAAAUGCGUAGAUAUCAAGAGGAACACCUGCGGCGAAGGCGGGUUGCUGGGCCGACACUGACGCUGGAGGCGACGGAAAGCUAGGGGAGCGAACGG